GAAAUGAAUUUGAUUAUGUUGAGAAGCACUAAGCCCCAAGUUCAGGCAGAGGUCGGAUCCUUGUUUCCUCCCAGUAAGGAUCAAAGUCUGUUGGAAGUGAGUAAUGCUUACAGUGGGAAUCAGAGCCUCAGCUUAUGGCAAUAGAAAUUGAAGAGACUUUGCAGCUCUCCUAAGUGCAAUGGGGAGAGCAGGAGAGGAGCAGGCUUCAAGGAACAGGAGGUGUAAUGAACUUGCAGUAACUGCACUGUCAGUUCAGGAAACCACUGACACCCAGUGCUAGCUCCAGGGAAGUCUGGCUCCUACUUUCUUCUGCCCACUGACAACUCCUCAGGCAUGAGGAGGGAAACUUGGACCUCCACGCUGAACAGCCAAAUCAAUCUGCAUAACUAAGAAACAAAUCAUGAGAGAAACUCCUGAGGACCAACUUAAGGUAACGCACGAUCACACCUGUGCUCAGUUUUGCUGCCACAGCUCCAUCAGAUUCCCUUGAAGAAACUGGCUGCAGCCUGCUCUAAGUACCCCCACAAGAGGUGGCCGAGAAGUCUCCUCUUUCCUGUAGAGUCACAAAGUGUCUUAUGAGUUUUUGUGGGAGGUAAGGUGAC